rnacentral:rRNA from 1 species
GAUGAACGCUAGCGGCAGGCUUAACACAUGCAAGUCGAGGGGCAGCGCGAUGUAGCAAUACAUUGGCGGCGACCGGCGCACGGGUGCGUAACACGUAUGGAAUCUGCCCUGUACUGGAAGAUAACCCGGCGAAAGUCGGACUAAUAUCCCAUAAUAGCCGAGGUGGCAUCACCUUGGUUUGAAAGCUCCGGCGGUACAGGAUGACCAUGCGCACGAUUAGCUAGUUGGUGAGGUAACGGCUCACCAAGGCUACGAUCGUUAGGGGGCCUGAGAGGGUUAUCCCCCACACUGGUACUGAGACACGGACCAGACUCCUACGGGAGGCAGCAGUGAGGAAUAUUGCGCAAUGGAGGCAACUCUGACGCAGCCAUGCCGCGUGCAGGAAGAAGGCGCUACGCGUUGUAAACUGCCUUUAUCCGGGAAGAAAAGUACACCGUUAAUAGCGGUGUGCCCUGACAUUACCCACAGAAUAAGCACCGGCUAACUCCG